rnacentral:rRNA from 1 species
GAUGAACGCUGGCGGCGUGCUUAACACAUGCAAGUCGAACGAUGAAGCCCAGCUUGCUGGGUGGAUUAGUGGCGAACGGGUGAGUAACACGUGAGUAACCUGCCCUUAACUCUGGGAUAAGCCUGGGAAACUGGGUCUAAUACCGGAUAGGAGCGUCCACCGCAUGGUGGGUGUUGGAAAGAUUUAUCGGUUUUGGAUGGACUCGCGGCCUAUCAGCUUGUUGGUGAGGUAAUGGCUCACCAAGGCGACGACGGGUAGCCGGCCUGAGAGGGUGACCGGCCACACUGGGACUGAGACACGGCCCAGACUCCUACGGGAGGCAGCAGUGGGGAAUAUUGCACAAUGGGCGCAAGCCUGAUGCAGCUACGCCGCGUGAGGGAUGACGGCCUUCGGGUUGUAGACCUCUUUCAGUAGGGAAGAAGCGAAAGUGACGGUACCUGCAGAAGAAGCACCGGCUAACUACGUG